CCUACGGGUGGCAGCAGUGAGGAAUAUUGGUCAAUGGGCGCGAGCCUGAACCAGCCAAGCAGCGUGAAGGAUGACUGCCCUGCGUGUUGUAAACUUCUUUUAUCAGGGAAUAAAGUGAGGCACGUGUGCCUUUUUGUGUGUACUUUAUGAAUAAGCAUCGGCUAACUCCGUGCCAGCAGCCGCGGUAAUACGGAGGAUCCGAGCGUUAUCCGGAUUUAUUGGGUUUAAAGGGUGCGUAGAUGGGGUGUUAAGUCAGUUGUGAAAGGUUGGGGCUCAACCGUAGAAUUGCCGUUGAUACUGGCAGUCUCGAGUUCAGUUGAGGUAGGCGGAAUGCGUGGUGUAGCGGUGAAAUGCAUAGAUAUCACGAAGAACUCCGAUUGCGAAGGCAGCUUACUAA
rnacentral:rRNA from 1 species